UAUCACAGAGGAAAGUUGUAGAAUUCUGUCCUCAGUUCUCAGUUCAAACUCCUCCAGUCUGAGAGAACUGGACCUGAGUUACAAUAACCUGCAGGAUUCAGGAGUGAAGCUGCUCUCUGCUGGACUGGAGAAUCCACACUGUACACUGGAGAUACUGAGGCUGGAACGCUGCAGUAUUACAGGUGAAGGUUGUGCUGCUCUGGUUUCAGCUCUGAGGUCAAACACCUCAUCACACCUGAGAGAACUGAAUCUGAACUACAAUAAAGCAGGAGAAUCAGGAGUGAAGCUGCUCUCUGAUCUACUGAAGGAUCCACACUGUAAAUUGGAGACACUACAGAUCUGAUCUGAGUCUCACACAUGGAGAAACAUGAUCAACAUGUAAUGUAUUUUAUGAUAAUGAUUGUUUUAAAUGUAAUUCAAAUGUGAUUUGUAUAAUGUAUUAUCACUUCAUAC